rnacentral:rRNA from 1 species
AUGGGAGUCCUCAAGGUUCCAAGCCUGCCAUGCUUGGUAUUUCUCAUGCUACUCCUCUUGGCUCCUGGCUUUGAUGCCAAGACAUGCCAGGAGCGCAGCGAGAGCUAUACCCCUUUUAGGUGCCUGACUGAUCCAUGUGUUGAGGCCUGCCACAAGGAGGGAUUUAUUGAUGGGAAGUGUGUCAUAUUCAAAUGUUACUGCAAAGCAUGUUAG